CCUACGGGAGGCAGCAGUAAGGAAUAUUGGACAAUGGUCGCAAGACUGAUCCAGCCAUGCCGCGUGCAGGAUGACUGCCUAUGGGUUGUAAACUGCUUUUGUACGGGAAUAUGUACCGUAAGAAUAAGGAUCGGCUAACUUCGUGCCAGCAGCCGCGGUAAGACGAAGGAUCCAAGCGUUAUCCGGAUUUAUUGGGUUUAAAGGGUGCGUAGGCGGAUUGAUAAGUCAGUGGUGAAAGCCUGUUGCUUAACAACAGAACUGCCAUUGAUACUGUCAAUCUUGAAUAUGUUUGAUGUGGGCGGAAUAUGACAUGUAGCGGUGAAAUGCUUAGAUAUGUCAUAGAACACCGAUUGCGAAGGCAGCUCACAAACCUUAUUGACGCUGAGGCACGAAAGCGUGGGGAUCAAACAGGAUUAGAUACCCCAGUAGUC
rnacentral:rRNA from 1 species